GCCCACUUAGCUCAAUGGUAGAGCGCAGGAAAGCUUCGAGAGAACAAGGUGUCUGUGGUCACUGGUUCGAAUCCAGUAGUGGGUA
rfam:Shigella phage pSb-1, complete genome.